UUUAGCCCAGUUCGGAAAAAUGAACCCAGCGAAAAAAUUUUUUUUGACCCCAGCCCGUGAGCACCCAGUGCAAAGUAGUACUUUGGCAGGCCCAAAACGUGAGGAGCUAGCAGCUAGCCGCCUAGCCCACCACUUCGCCGAUCGCUAGCAGCAAGCAGCCGAUCGCUCAUCUUUCUCAGGAAACUACUCGACCCUCUGCUCCUCUGAACCGUCGCCCGUGGCCGCACGCCCGCACUUGUCCCAGCCGCCGCUCCUCUUCUCAUCCGUCGAAAAAACUGAAGAAUCUCCUGCAAUUUUCGAACUGUUCGGCUGGGUAAUCUAGUCACAACAUUCACGUGGUUUGUAAUUGUAUGUGCACAAUCAAGAUCAGCGAGAGUACUCACAUCAGUGCCCAUCAGUCACAAUGUCAGGUAGUCGAAAAUUAAUGGAGCGGUUUGUAAAUCUGAAAAGAAAAUCACCACCACCGAGUACCAAUCAUGCUGACCAUGAUGAAGGCCCGUCAAAUAUUACACGAGCUACUCGUCCUUGUCCUCUGCCAGUGCCUCCAACUUUAAAAGAGUUAGAUGUAAAUGAGAUUCCAUAUG